rnacentral:tRNA from 1 species
GCCUAUUAGCUCAGCUGGUUAGAGCGUGGUUCUAAUAAGGCCAAGGUCGCAGGUUCGAGACCUGCAUAUGGGCC